UAGGGAAUCUUCCACAAUGGACGCAAGUCUGAUGGAGCAACGCCGCGUGAGUGAAGAAGGUUUUCGGACCGUAAAGCUCUGUUGUUGGUGAAGAAGGAUAGAGGUAGUAACUGGCCUUUAUUUGACGGUAAUCAACCAGAAAGUCACGGCUAACUACGUGCCAGCAGCCGCGGUAAUACGUAGGUGGCAAGCGUUGUCCGGAUUUAUUGGGCGUAAAGCGAGCGCAGGCGGAAGAAUAAGUCUGAUGUGAAAGCCCUCGGCUUAACCGAGGAAUUGCAUCGGAAACUGUUUUCUGAGUGCAGAAGAGGAGAGUAGAACUCCAUGUGUAGCGGUGGAAUGCGUAGAUAUAUGGAAGAAUACCAGUGGCGAAGGCGGCUCUCUGGUCUGCAACUGACGCUGAGGCUCGAAAGCAUGGGUAGCGAACAGGAUUAGAUACCCUGGUAGUCCAUGCCGUAAACGAUGAGUGCUAAGUGUUGGGAGGCUUCCGCCUCUCAGUGCUGCAGCUAACGCAUUAAGCACUCCGCCUGGGGGAGUACG
rnacentral:rRNA from 1 species